GACGAACGCUGGCGGCGUGCUUAACACAUGCAAGUCGAACGGAAAGGCCCUGCUUUUGUGGGGUGCUCGAUUGGCGAACGGGUGAGUAACACGUGAGUAACCUGCCCUUGACUUUGGGAUAACUUCAGGAAACUGGGGCUAAUACCGGAUAGGAGCUCCUGCUGCAUGGUGGUGGUUGGAAAGUUUCGGCGGUUGGGGAUGGACUAGCGGCUUAUCAGCUUGUUGGUGGGGUAGUGGCUUACCAAGGCUUUGACGGGUAGCCGGCAUGAGAGGGUAACCGGGCACAUUGGUACUGCGAUACGGACCAGACUCCUACGGGAGGCAGUAGUGGGGAAUAUUGCACAAUGGGGGGAAGCCUGAUGCAGCAACGCCGCGUGCGGGAUGACGGCCUUCGGGUUGUAAACCGCUUUCGCCUGUGACGAAGCGUGAGUGACGGUAAUGGGUAAAGAAGCACCGGCUAACUACGUG
rnacentral:rRNA from 1 species